rnacentral:rRNA from 1 species
AGCGAACGUUAGCGGCGGGCCUAACACAUGCAAGUCGAACGAGAAAAUCCCUUCGGGGGUGAGUACAGUGGCGCACGGGUGAGGAACGCGUAGGUAAUCUACCCUUUGGCGGGGGACAACAUUCCGAAAGGAAUGCUAAUACCGCGUAAGACCACGCCCACUACGGUGGAGGUGGUAAAAGGUGCCUCAAAGCACCACCAAAGGAUGAGCCUGCGUCCCAUCAGCUUGUUGGUAAGGUAAUGGCUUACCAAGGCUAAGACGGGUAGCUGGUCUGAGAGGAUGAUCAGCCACACUGGCACUGGAACACGGGCCAGACUCCUACGGGAGGCAGCAGUGAGGAAUAUUGGGCAAUGGGCGCAAGCCUGACCCAGCCACGCCGCGUGUGUGAUGAAGGCCUUCGGGUCGUAAAGCACUGUGGGGAGAGACGAAACAGCGCGCCAGGAAAUGGGUGCGCCUUGACGGUACCUCCUUAGCAAGCACCGGCUAACUACGUGCCAGCAGCCGCGGUAAUACAGAGGGUGCAAACGUUGCUCGGAUUUACUGGGCGUANAGCGCGUGUAGGCGGACUCGCAAGUCGG